CCUCGCCCAGGAAAGCCAGAUCGCUCAAAUCCCACCCAGGCCAGACAGGAUGAUCGGCGAGAAGCCUAGGAACAUGCACCUCACGCCUCUGCAUCAAACAGAAAAGCAUAAUUUGCUUCAGAGACAAGCCUAUGAGUCUGGUCGGACUACUAUCCCCAUUAAAAGAUCUGCCUGGGGUUAGCUACCUCGCCUAGGACACACAGGUGAUGACCCCGUGUCUGAAGAGAACAGACCUUCAGCUACUACAGUGAUAGCUGGAAACCUGAGGUGUGAAACAGUAUCCCCUUUCACAGCCAAAAUAAAUACUGGGACUGUACCUGGGCAUUAAGACUUGGA